CAAAGUGUGAAAUCAUUUCAGUAGAUAAAUAGUUGUAUAAGUAAAAAGACAGAAUGUGUGCAAUAUUAUGGGGCUACUGGCUGAAUAUAUUUUAGAUGAUAAAACAUACGAGCAAUGUAUAAAGGGGCUAACUAAUACAACAACAAUUUGCAACAUUCCAUUUUUGUAUCCAUAUAUAGUGUAUAUAUUAUGGACAAAGUGAACCAUGGAUAGCAUCUUUAAUUUUUCA